GUGAGUCAUCGAAUCUUUGAACGCACAUUGCGCCCUUUGGUAUUCCGAAGGGCAUGCCUGUUCGAGCGUCAUUAUCACCUCUCAAGCCCCGUGCUUGGUGUUGGACGGCCUGGUCGCGUUAUCGCGACCCCUCCUAAAGACAAUGACGGCGGCCUGUGGUUCCCCCGGUACACUGAGCUUGUAACUGAGCACGUACCGGACCAGGGCACCCGGGACCCGGUCCUCUCCCUUCACCGGGAAAUUUUUCAAUGGUUGACCUCGGAUCAGGUAGGAAUACGCGCUGAACUUAAGCAUAUCAAU
rnacentral:misc_RNA from 1 species